UGGAUAGAUUAUUGUAUUCGACUGUAUUCACGACGUAAAACAGGGGAUUACACUAUUUUAAACGAAAAGUGAAUUAAUUAACAUAAUAGACUCCU
rnacentral:pre_miRNA from 1 species